rnacentral:rRNA from 1 species
GACGAACGCUGGCGGCGUGCUUAAUACAUGCAAGUCAACUUGACUUUAGAUAGCAAUAUCGAAAAGUAGGGUGGCGCACGGGUGCGUAACGCGUAGGUAAUCUGCCCUGAGGUCUGACAUAACCCGUCGAAAGGCGGGCUAACAUCAGAUGAUAUAUAAUCACGACAUCGUGGAAAUAUCAAAUCUUCGGAGCCUUGGGAUGAGCCUGCGUCUGAUUAGGUAGUUGGCGGAGUAAUAGCCCACCAAGCCUACGAUCAGUAGCUGGUCUGAGAGGAUGAUCAGCCACACUGGAACUGAGACACGGUCCAGACUCCUACGGGAGGCAGCAGUAAGGAAUAUUGCUCAAUGGGGGAAACCCUGAAGCAGCAACGCCGCGUGAAGGAUGAAAUACUUUUGUAUGUAAACUUCUGUAAGAUGGGAAAAUAUUCUCCUCGGGAGAAUUGAUUGUACCAUCAGAGUAAGCCCCGGCUAACU